CCUACGGGGGGCUGCAGUGAGGAAUAUUGGUCAAUGGCCGGAAGGCUGAACCAGCCAUGCCGCGUGAAGGUCAGUGCCCUAUGGGCGUUAAACUUCUUUUGUGCGGGAGCAAUAAUGGUCACGUGUGGCCAGACGAGAGUACCGUACGAAUAAGCAUCGGCUAACUUCGUGCCAGCAGCCGCGGUAAUACGGGGGAUGCAAGCGUUUUUCGGAUUUAUUGGGUUUAAAGGGUGCGUAGGCUGGGAGGUAAGUCAGCGGUGAAAUGCCCCCGCUCAAUGGGGGGAAGUGCCAUUGAUACUGCCUUGCUGGAAUGCGGAUGCCGUGGGAGGAAUGUGUGGUGUAGCGGUGAAAUGCAUAGAUAUCACACAGAACACCGAUUGCGAAGGCAGCUCACGAAUCCGCGAUUGACGCUGAUGCACGAAAGCGUGGGUAUCAAACAGGAUUAGAUACCCGGGUAGUC
rnacentral:rRNA from 1 species